AAGGUAAUGGGAAAGGUGACAUAGGAUUUUUCUUUGUUCUCACUUUCCUGCAGAUAUAGGAGAUGCAAAGGAGUGUUUUUCUUCUGCUUGCCAGGCCUUGUGUCCCUUUGAAAAGAAUUUCAUCACCCUACUUUAUGCUAUCACAUCAUCUCUCUCACCAAUAGGCAAAUACGUGACAGGAGCAGAUUUGCAGUGAAGAGCUGCUAAUGCAGAAGGAUCCGUUCCGGAUGUUCUCCUCCCAUCUGUUAUACAGUGCAGCAGCUCUUCUGCAUCUCCUGGGACGAUGCAUGAGGAGUCAGAAAAAUUGUGGUCCUUGUGCUGGGAAUGCUGUGACAAGAAGUUUGAAGGCAGCCUCUUGUUCUCUUCAGGAGUCCUCCAAACCCAAACCUUCAGGUUUAUCCUUGCCCCCCGCCUCUCCCACCACUUGUCCUGCCUUCCAGAUGGAUCAUCAUUGUGGCUUGCUUGGAUGUUCUAAGAGUGGGUUUGAUUUUCCCUCCUCCUUUCAAGAAUGUUCCCUUUCAAACCAGAGCAGUCACCAGGAGCCUUUUUCUCUCCUAUCCUCCUUCACUCAAUUCCUGUAAUGAUAUAGCACCACAUAAAUACAAUAUACCAUUGCGUAAAUGCCUUCUCAGGAACUACAAUCACAGCCUGGACUAUUCUACUAAUCUGUGGCAAAGGCACGCCAAACCCUGCUUGAAGGGAGCACUCCAUGAGGUCCCCAUAUCCUUAAUUCUUCUGAUUCCAUAACAUAAUUUUUGCCUCUUGGUCUCUGAACUGGUGAUAAAUCUUGGUAGAAGCAUCAUGCAGGCAAUUUUGCAUAAGAUUUUUUCCCAACUCACUAUACAGACCUGAUGAAAUGGAUAAUUUCCAUUUUGAGAAUGUUAACAUUUUUAUAAAAGAUCUAAAAGGUAUUACAACAAUGUUGUUGAAGAAAAAUGAAUGCUUUAUUUUUGUUUAUGAAUGCACAUCUUGAUGAAAUCCUGUUAGUAGCUAAAUACUUGAAUUACACUAUGAAUUAAUAAAAUCAUGAAUUUUGUAUGUUUUCUGGAAGGU
rnacentral:lncRNA from 1 species